AUUGAACGCUGGCGGCAGGCUUAACACAUGCAAGUCGAGCGAGUGGCGGACGGGUGAGUAAUGUCUGGGAAACUGCCCGAUGGCGGGGGAUAACUACUGGAAAGGGUAGCUAAUACCGCAUACUAUCGGAUGUGCCCAUAUGGGAUUAGCUAGUAGGUGGGGUAAUGGCUCACCUAGGCGACGAUCCCUAGCUGGUGUGAGAGGAUGACCAGCCACACUGGAACUGAGACACGGUCCAGACUCCUACGGGAGGCAGCAGUGGGGAAUAUUGCACAAUGGGGGCAACCCUGAUGCAGCCAUGCCGCGUGUGUGAAGAAGGCCUUCGGGUUGUAAAGCACUUUCAGCAGGGAGGCGUUACUCGCAGAAGAAGCACCGGCUAACUCCGUGCCAGCAGCCGCGGUAAUUC
rnacentral:rRNA from 1 species